GGUUUGGUCCUGCGCAAUGGGUUGCCGCGAACCUUGUCAGGUCCGGAAGGAAGCAGCAAUAAACGGAUUUUCCCAUGUGCCGCAGAUCAGCCUGAUCCCG
rnacentral:SRP_RNA from 1 species